rnacentral:rRNA from 1 species
GACGAACGCUGGCGGCGUGCCUAAUACAUGCAAGUAGAACGCUGAGGGAGGAGCUUGCUUCUCCGGAUGAGUUGCGAACGGGUGAGUAACGCGUAGGUAACCUGCCUGGUAGCGGGGGAUAACUAUUGGAAACGAUAGCUAAUACCGCAUAAGAGUAGAUGUUGCAUGACAUUUGCUUAAAAGGUGCAAUUGCAUCACUACCAGAUGGACCUGCGUUGUAUUAGCUAGUUGGUGAGGUAACGGCUCACCAAGGCGACGAUACAUAGCCGACCUGAGAGGGUGAUCGGCCACACUGGGACUGAGACACGGCCCAGACUCCUACGGGAGGCAGCAGUAGGGAAUCUUCGGCAAUGGACGGAAGUCUGACCGAGCAACGCCGCGUGAGUGAAGAAGGUUGUCGGAUCGUAAAGCUCUGUUGUAAGAGAAGAACGAGUGUGAGAGUGGAAAGUUCACACUGUGACGGUAUCUUACCAGAAAGGGACGGCUAACUACGUG